GGGUUGGGGCUGAAUCCAAUGACUGAUAUCUUUAUAAGAGAAAGAAGAGGAAGAUUCAGAUAUGGAAACACAGAAAAGAAGGCCAUGUGACAACAGAGACAGAGAUUCAAUGAUACAGCCAUAAGCCAAGGAGCCCCAAGAAUUGCUGGGGACCACCAGAAGCUAGGAUCAGUCAAAGACGGAUUCCUCUCUAGAACCUUCAGAGGUAGACAGGCCCUCUUGGACUUCUAGCUUACAAAAUGGGAAAUUCUUCUGGCAGCAGUAUGGAGGAGAGCCUAGAGUGGGGGGCAUGACCAAUAGCAUAGUGAUGUAUCAACAAUCCAAGAAAAACAGGACGGGACUAAAAUGAGGAAAUGGCAGUGACAGGCAACUGAAUCAGGCAUUUUUUGAAGAAAAACUGACAGGAUGUGGUGGCUGACUGAAUAUGGAGGGAAGGAGAAUAGUAGAG